UACGGAGGGUGCGAGCGUUAAUCGGAGUUACUGGGUGUAAAGGGCGCGUAGGCGGUGUUAUGUGUGUGAUGUGAAAGCCCCGGGCUUAACCUGGGAAGUGCAUCGCAAACUAUAGUACUAGAGUAUAUGAGAGGGUGGCGGAAUUUCCGGUGUAGCGGUGAAAUGCGUAGAGAUCGGAAGGAACGUCAAUGGCGAUGGCAGCCACCUGGCUUAAUACUGACGCUGAGGCGCGAAAGCGUGGGGAGCGAACAGG
rnacentral:rRNA from 1 species